UGCCUAAAAUAUUUUUUAUGUUACCUCCUCUCCAUGGAAUGGUGCAUUUUUUUAUGCCAAUACAUUUUAAAAGACCAGGUCUUUUAAAAUGUAUUGGCAUAAAAAAAUGCACCAUUCCAUGGAGAGGAGGUAACAUAAAAAAAU